CAACAAAAAUAUUUAAAAUCAUAGUAGCACACAUUGCAAUAAUUAUAGUUCUUGUCUCUUAUGGGAUGCAUCAAGUGAUAAGACAACUGCAAAAGCCUACCUAGUUCAUUUUUAUUAUUUAAAGACAUUUCCAAACAGUAAACAGUUUAUUCAGUAGAAUGUUGGUGAUUGUCGAAAAUUAUUCAAGUAAAAAAAAGAAAAAUUUAGUUUCCAAUGUAGUGAUGAAAUAAUAAAUGUCACUGUUUGUGUCAUUCUGUUGUGGAAAUUUAAUGCAGAAUGCAAAACAAUAUAACAACAUAAAACAAAUUAAAUAAAUUCUAAAAUCUGCAUUUAUUAUAUGUAUGUUUUUUUUUUUUAUUUGUUUGUUCUUCACUGUUUUAGCCAAAGUUUAAAGAGCCAAUAUGGAGUGUCCAAAGAGCCAUUUGCGGCUCCGGUGACACAGGUUGCAGACCCUAGACUCUCUGAGGUGAACUUCAGUUCACCCUCCACUUUAAUCUUAAAUGGCAAAAACAAUUUUUCCGUGGAAAGCUGCAAGCUUAGCAGGCCCAAGUUACAUUAUCCAACCUACACCGCCCCGGUGACUGUUAAAAACAAUCAGAAAAGUGGUCUUCAUGUAGCCCAGACUUAUUCAGACCCAAUCAUCGGAGCCCCUCGCUCUUUCAUGCACCGGAUUUCUGAGCUCUCCUCUUUGGAAGGUGAGACGGUGAGAUAUGAGAAGAUGAAGAAAAUCAAGAAAUCUAAAAAAUCUCCGUCCUGACAAUCACCCCCUUCUGAGUCGCGACGGCCCAGGAUUAAGACAUUUGAGUCUGUGCCAACAACUGAACAAAAUAAAACACUUAGGGCACCAUAUUCAUUUCA